rnacentral:rRNA from 1 species
GAUGAACGCUGGCGGCGUGCCUAAUACAUGCAAGUCGAGCGAAGCGGGAACGGGUGAGUAACACGUGGAUAACCUCCUAUAAGACUGGGAUAACCUGGGGAAACCGGAGAUAAACCGAAUACUUAUCUAUGGCUCCGCGCUGCAUUAGCUAGUUGGUAAGGUAACGGGUGACGAAGGAAACGAUGCAUAGCCGACCGGAGAGGGUGAUCGGCCACACUGCAACUGAGACACGGUCCAGACUCCUGCGGGAUGCAGGAGUAGGGAAUCUUCCGCAAUGGGCGAAAGCCGGACGGAGCAACGCGGCGUGAGUGAUGAAGGUUUUCGGAUCGUAAAACUCUGUUAUUAGUGAAGCGGUACCUAAUCAGAAAGCCACGGCUAACUACGUGCCAGCAGCCGCGGUAAUAC